AGCGAACGCUGGCGGCAGGCCUAACACAUGCAAGUCGAACGAACUCUUCGGAGUUAGUGGCGGACGGGUGAGUAACACGUGGGAACGUGCCUUUUGGUUCGGAAUAACUCAGGGAAACUUGUGCUAAUACCGCAUGUGCCCUUCGGGGGAAAGAUUUAUCGCCAUUAGGGCGGCCCGCGUCUGAUUAGCUAGUUGGGGAGGUAACGGCUCACCAAGGCGACGAUCAGUAGCUGGUCUGAGAGGAUGACCAGCCACACUGGGACUGAGACACGGCCCAGACUCCUACGGGAGGCAGCAGUGGGGAAUCUUGCGCAAUGGGCGAAAGCCUGACGCAGCCAUGCCGCGUGAAUGAUGAAGGUCUUAGGAUUGUAAAAUUCUUUCACCGGGGACGAUAAUGACGGUACCCGGAGAAGAAGCCCCGGCUAACUUCGUG
rnacentral:rRNA from 1 species